UUCGGACUAAAACACAAAACAAGAAGUUACACGUUUUUCGACAAAAUCCGAACAAUUUUCACUAUAACAAGAACGACAAAAGUACGCGCGCGGACAAGUGAGAGGUGGGAAAUUAAGUUUUCGUGCAAGGAAAGGAACAAGGAAGGCGGAAUUGGAGUGGAAAAGGUGCACACACGGAAGGAGGAGCAUUUGGAAAAGCCUUGCAGACCUUUGCGGAAAACAAAACAGCAACCACGUUUUACCGAAACGCCAGUGGGAACAAUGCACCUUAAACGCGGGAGGCCACUUAACAUACUCGUCGGUUCAUCAUGCGGCGGCGGUGGCUCCGACACCAAGAUCAAAACAGUACUCGAACCGAAUAAGGUGCAACACUUGAUCGAGCAGAUUGAGUUGUUUUACAUCCGAUAAAAUAAAAUAAUAUGCUAUUAUCAAUAAAUAAUAACUAUUUUUAUUUCAA